rnacentral:tRNA from 1 species
GGUGCUGUAGCUCAGUGGUAGAGCACUUGCCUAGCAUGUGUGAGGUACUGGGUUCAAUCCUCAGCACCA